rnacentral:rRNA from 1 species
CCGCAUCUGUGCAUGCAGCAUAUCAAUAAGCGGAGGAAAAGAAACUAACAAGGAUUCCCCUAGUAACGGCGAGUGAAGCGGGAAGAGCUCAAAUUUGAAAUCUUAAAGGGUUUCCCUUUACGAAUUGUAGAUUAAAGAAGUGUUUUCUGUUGAGGUUUUGGUAAAAGUUCUUUGGAAUAGGACAUCAUAGAGGGUGAGAAUCCCGUAUUUGACCUUUACUUUCAACUUUGUGAUACACUUUCAAAGAGUCGGAUUGUUUGGGAAUGCAGUCCAAAAUGGGUGGUAAAUUUCAUCUAAAGCUAAAUAUUGGCGAGAGACCGAUAGCGAACAAGUACCGUGAGGGAAAGAUGAAAAGAACUUUGAAAAGAGAGUUAAACAGUACGUGAAAUUGUCAAAAGGGAAGCGUUUGACACCAGUGUUGUUUUUCUGAAAAUCAAUUAAAGAACUGUUUAUGCUAAGCUGUUUAGACUUUAUCAGCUAACUGUUUAGUUUUGAGCUUUUCUUUAAUGCACUUUUCAGUUAACAAGUCAACAUCAAUUUCUUUUGCUGUAAAAAAGCUUGAGGAAGGUGGCUUGAGAUUCGUCUUAAGUGUUUAUAGCCUCUUGCCUAUGCAGUCGGAGAGAUUGAGGUCUGCAGCGUAGAUCCUUCGGGGCUAAAUGCAUUUGUGCUAAGUUAUAACAUUUUAUAGACAACUUGUUGACUAUGAUUUGUCUUGUAGCUUACUCGCUUAUGUUAUUUUACCUACGCUUAGGAUGUUGAGCGCAUGUCUCUCUCU